AGAGUUGAUCCUGGCUCAGGAUGAACGCUAGCGACAGGCUUAACACAUGCAAGUCGAGGGGCAGCACGGGAGUAGCAAUACAACUGGUGGCGACCGGCGCACGGGUGAGUAACGCGUAUGCAACCUACCUAUCAGAGGGGAAUAACCCGGCGAAAGUCGGACUAAUACCGCAUAAAACAGGGGCACCGCAUGGUGAUAUUUGUUAAAGAGAUUCGCUGAUAGAUGGGCAUGCGUUCCAUUAGGUAGUUGGUGAGGUAACGGCUCACCAAGCCGACGAUGGAUAGGGGAACUGAGAGGUUGGUCCCCCACACUGGUACUGAGACACGGACCAGACUCCUACGGGAGGCAGCAGUGAGGAAUAUUGGUCAAUGGGCGGGAGCCUGAACCAGCCAAGUCGCGUGAAGGAAGAAGGAUCUAUGGUUCGUAAACUUCUUUUGCAGGGGAAUAAAGUGCAGGACGUGUCCUGUUUUGUAUGUACCCUGAGAAUAAGGAUCGGCUAACUCCGUGCCAGCAGCCGC
rnacentral:rRNA from 1 species